rnacentral:rRNA from 1 species
GACGAACGCUGGCGGCGUGCUUAACACAUGCAAGUCGAACGAUGAAGCCCAGCUUGCUGGGUGGAUUAGUGGCGAACGGGUGAGUAACACGUGAGUAACCUGCCCUCCACUCUGGGGUAACUCCGGGAAACCGGUGCUAAUACUAGAUAUGACUUCCGACCGCAUGGUUGGGGGUGGAAAGAUUUAUCGGUGGUGGAUGGACUCGCGGCCUAUCAGCUUGUUGGUGGGGUAAUGGCCUACCAAGGCGACGACGGGUAGCCGGCCUGAGAGGGUGACCGGCCACACUGGGACUGAGACACGGCCCAG